ensembl:lncRNA
UUUCUAUGUUGUCCCUGUGUUGCUAUUAUUAACAUAUCCAGGUUCUGCUGGUGCUUUUCGGAAUGACAUUUUUUUGGCGUUUCUGCUGUGAUUCUUUGAUGUUUCGUCAUGGGAUAACAUGCAUAAAACCUUAAGUGCAUCAGCCCUGAAUGCCAGCUGUGGAUAAGCUGUAAUCUAUGUCAAGCUGAGAUCCUGCCGUACAGCCGGGGUGACAGACACACAGGAAACCUAGCUGGCAUCACACGGUAAUGAGGCAGUAUUUUACACACAACAUCUGAAGCGACGCAUUUAUUAGAGUCCACAGUCACAUCUUUAUCCAAAGACACUCACUGGGAAUAUAUAUGCAAGGAAAUGAAGAGAGGCCCCAAAGCUCAGCUCAAGCAACACUGAAGAAAAGCUCACAAAAAGGAGGAUCACGAGAUAAAGAGCAAAGUCUGAACUCUUCUGACGUUCUUGAAGGACACAGCAGAGCUCUUCCUGAAGCCUGGAAUCCUAUGAAAGAUGCAGCGUUCCUGAAGGGGAGCUGCCAGUAUCCCGCAUUCAUCCUGACUUCUGAGUGAGUCGGGAGCGGGGGAGAAGAAAGGGGAAUGCCGAUGGACCCCGCGGUGAGGACAAUAAAAAAACAUCAAGAAAACCCCAAAGACUGUCAUGUUCCGCUGAUCAUCCCCCCAGACUCAAACCGACCCCUCCUCCGUAAAAACACAGUUUUACCGCUCGAGAACAUCUCUGUAUGCAUUUCUGACUGUGAACCAAUUAAAGAUGCAUGAGCAGGGGGCGUGGUCAUGGGGGUUUGGGGUAGGGUGCCUUAAAAUUUGAUUGGUCACACAAAAUGACACGCCUACUUAAUGUGAUAUCUUCUUUUCAUAAUGUCUUCCUUGCUAAUUGAGGGAGUUUUCUCUUGCCCUCUGGGUGGCUAGGGCCAGGGGGCAGUUAUACAUAUAUGGCCUGUUAAAGGGGUAGCUCGGAGUUUUGGACAUAGGGCCUGAUUCCCAAGUUAGCCUUGGUGUUCUUUAUCAUCGGAGACAGUUUUCAUCACAUUUCAUUCAGUCCUUCUAGUUGCAGAGUUUGCUCGUGCUAGGCUAACGCACGGCAACGGGCAAUACUAGCCUGCUAAUAAAACAGUCUUAUCCACUCCAUAGUACACCCGAGGUAAAUCAAUUAUAAUGCCGGACUAUGGAUGUAAAUGUCUGUGUUGAUAGAAUAAUGUUAGAAUUAAAACUGACCUUGCGUCCAGGGCUGUAGUGGUCAAAUUAGAGGUGGGUAAACUAUGAAUUUUUUGAUCAGACCGACCUCGACACAACACAACGCAACGCAAAGUGUUGCGACUCUGUAAGGCUAGCCUGGCUAUAUUCCAUUAUGUUAUCAAUUAAAGUCAUAUUAAAUCAAUCAAUGACAGUCAAUGAAUGUGUUUGUAGUUUAUUCAAGUUAUUCAAAUUUCAACAGUAAAGAAAAGUAUGUGUAGGAUUAAGAACUAUCUAUCAAUGGCAUGUGUGUAUGUGUGUGUAUUAGUAUGCAUGCUUUUCACAGUAGUACCCAGAGGGCCUCCUUGUCCUCCACGUCAGGUCCUGCCUUCACCAGCCAGGACUUCACAUACGUGUUGGAUUGAACUUUGUGGUGGCUGAGUGGUGGGCCAUUCAGUUGAAUAAACAUCAAGGACGACACUGUGACCAAGUGCAGACUGCAUCUCAGGGGGCACACUAUGAUGUUCAUUAAGCUGAACCCCCUCUCACACUCAGCAGUGCUAACUGGAAUGAGAUGGUCGAUAUUCAGGAGUGGUGCAAGGUUUUCUGGAAUGAUGCUUGAGUUAUCCUUAAAAUCCCUAUAGCCUUCAAGAAUUUUUCUGUCAUCAAGUCUGAACCUUUGGGCAAGUUGUUUCAACUUGGAUUCCCCAUACUGCUCCUCUAGGGAACAGGCCAGUUUGCUGGGAAAAUAACUUUAAAGAAAAUAAAUAAUAAAAUAAAAAUAUUUAUAAUAUAUAAAAUACAGAUAUUUAUAAAUAUUUAUAUUUUUAUUGGUUUAACCGCCAACCGCCCGAAUUUAAUUAAAAUAUAUUUUUUUGUCGCGUCAUCCUCCCGAUCCACGGUUCAGCCGCGGAGUCCACGGCUGCAACCGCCAACCUCGAAUCUCCAAAUUGAGGCUUCAACAUAGCGACCAAGCUAUAGCGAAGUUGAUACGCCGAAACCGGAGUUUAAUAUGGAUAGUAAAACUCUGACUGACUUUCACUCAUUUUGACGUGGGCAGUACACGGAUAGCAUGACUACGCAUUGGCCAAUCUGAAUGCUCGGAGUCACUUAAUAGUUCGUCAAGUAAUAUUGAUUUAUAAAUCACAAAAACAACUCAUGUGAAUUGAUCACCUUCAGUCUUACUUUGUACUUGAGGCCUUUUUCGGGCAUCUGUUGGAGUGGGAGCACUCGAAGGUCUCUUCAAAAAUCGCCUGAUAUCCAUGGCUAAUUAAUGACAGGUAGGCAGGCAUGAUAAUCCACAACGCGCAGGGCCAUGUGUUUACAUACUUCCUGUUUACAUAUUUUCCUGGAUCCUGAUUGGUGUCGCUGCCGCAGCCGCAAGGCACUGAUUGGAGGGUCACAGACCAUAAUAGCAUAGGCCUAGCGCAAAUGAAAAUGAUUCAGAUUACAGCGUUUAUUUGUUCAACAAUAUUAAACCUUGUCUUAGGUGUUUUAAAAUGAUGCUGAAUUUAUUUCCGAUUAUUCCAACGGCAGAAAUCAAGGCACAGGGAACUUUGAGGUGCGUAAACGCUAUUUAGAGGUGCGUAAACUCUAUUUCCUAAAUUCCAGAGGUGCGUAAACGGCGUUUACGUGCGUUUACCCUCCACUACAGCCCUGCUUGCGUCGCAUGAAUCAUCGCAUUUUGAGGGACUACUUUCUCAGCAGCAGCGGAAUUUAACCUAGGUAUCAGUCCGCUGCUGCUGUAGCCUGCUACCAGGAAUAUAACACUGCCGCUGAGACACAGCAAGUCGCACAAAAUGAAAUGCAAUGCAAGGUUGGUUUUAUUUCUGACAUUAUUCGAUCAACACAGACAUUUACAUCGACCGUCUGGCGUUAUAGUUGAUUUGCCUCGGGUGUACUGUGGAGUGCGUAAGACUGUUUUAUUAGCAGGCUAGUAUUGCCCGUUGCCGUGCGCUAGCCUAGAAUGAGCAAACUCUGCAACAAGAAGGACUGAACGAAAUGUGUUGAAAACUGUCUCCGAUGAUAAAGAACACCAAGGCUAAUUUGGAAAUCAUGUCCAAAAUUCCGAACUACCCCUUUAAGCCAUUUGAGCAUGUACCUGUAGGACUAAUCAUAAUAAUUGAAUUUAAGUGAAUAUUAUAUCUUCUUAAGA